UACGUAGGGUGCAAGCGUUAAUCGGAAUUACUGGGCGUAAAGCGUGCGCAGGCGGUUUUGUAAGACUGUCGUGAAAUCCCCGGGCUCAACCUGGGAAUGGCGAUGGUGACUGCAAGGCUAGAGUUUGGCAGAGGGGGGUAGAAUUCCGACGUGUAGCAGUGAAAUGCGUAGAUAUGUGGAGGAACACCGAUGGCGAAGGCAGCCCCCUGGGUCAAAACUGACGCUCAUGCACGAAAGCGUGGGGAGCAAACAGG
rnacentral:rRNA from 1 species